UUAAAUUGAAGAGUUUGAUCAUGGCUCAGAUUGAACGCUGGCGGCAGGCCUAACACAUGCAAGUCGAACGGUAACAGGAAGAAGCUUGCUUCUUUGCUGACGAGUGGCGGACGGGUGAGUAAUGUCUGGGAAACUGCCUGAUGGAGGGGGAUAACUACUGGAAACGGUAGCUAAUACCGCAUAACGUCGCAAGACCAAAGAGGGGGACCUUCGGGCCUCUUGCCAUCGGAUGUGCCCAGAUGGGAUUAGCUAGUAGGUGGGGUAACGGCUCACCUAGGCGACGAUCCCUAGCUGGUCUGAGAGGAUGACCAGCCACACUGGAACUGAGACACGGUCCAGACUCCUA
rnacentral:rRNA from 2 species